GAUGAACGCUGGCGGCGUGCCUAAUACAUGCAAGUCGAGCGAACAGACGAGAAGCUUGCUCCUCUGACGUUAGCGGUGGACGGGUGAGUAACACGUGGAUAACCUACCUAUAAGACUGGGAUAACUUCGGGAAACCGGAGCUAAUACCGGAUCACAUGUUGAACCGCAUGGUUCAACAGUGAACGACGGUAUUGCUGUCGCUUAUAGAUGGAUCCGCGCCGCAUUAGCUAGUUGGUAAGGUAACGGCUUAUCAAGGCAACGAUGCGUAGCCGACCUGAGAGGAUGAUCGGCCACACUGGAACUGAGACACGGUCCAGACUCCUACGGGAGGCAGCAGUAGGGAAUCUUCCGCAAUGGGCGAAAGCCUGACGGAGCAACGCCGCGUGAGUGAAGAAGGUCUUCGGAUCGUAAAACUCUGUUAUUAGGGAAGAACAAAUGUGUAAGUAACUAUGCACGUCUUAACGGUACCUAAUCAGAAAGCCACGGCUAACUACGUGCCAGCCGCCGCAGUAA
rnacentral:rRNA from 1 species